CCAGCAGCUGCGGUAAUUCCAGCUCUAAUAGCGUAUAUUACAGUUGUUGCGGUUAAAAAGCUCGCAGUUGGAUUUCUGCCGAGGACGACCGGUCCGCCCACUGGGUGUGCAUCUGGCUCGGCCUGGGCAUCUUCUUGGUGAACGUAUCUGCACUUCGCUGUGUGGUGCGGUAUCCAGGACUUUUACUUUGAGGAAAUUAGAGUGUUUCAAGCAGGCACACGCCUUGAAUACGUUAGCAUGGAAUAAUAAGAUAGGACCUUGGUUCUAUUUUGUUGGUUUCUAGAACUGAGGUAAUGAUUAAUAGGGAUAGUUGGGGGCAUUCGUAUUUAACUGUCAGAGGUGAAAUUCUUGGAUUUGUUAAAGACGAUCUACUGCGAAAGCAUUUGCCAAGGAUGUUUUCAUUGAUCAAGAACGAAAGU
rnacentral:rRNA from 1 species